rnacentral:rRNA from 1 species
UACGUAGGGGGCAAGCGUUGUCCGGAUUUAUUGGGCGUAAAGAGCUCGUAGGUGGUUUGGUAAGUCGGAUGUGAAAUCUCCAGGCUCAACCUGGAGGGGUCAUUCGAUACUGCCGUGACUAGAGUUCGGUAGGGGAGUGUGGAAUUCCUGGUGGAGCGGUGAAAUGCGCAGAUAUCAGGAGGAACACCCGUAGCGAAGGCGGCACUCUAGGCCGAUACUGACACUGAGGAGCGAAAGCGUGGGGAGCGAACAGG